rnacentral:rRNA from 1 species
UACGUAGGGGGCAAGCGUUGUCCGGAAUCAUUGGGCGUAAAGCGCGUGUAGGCGGCCCGGUAAGUCCGCUGUGAAAGUCGGGGGCUCAACCCUCGGAUGCCGGUGGAUACUGUCGGGCUAGAGUGCGGGAGAGGCGGAGUGGAAUUCCGUGGUGUAGCGGUGAAAUGCGCAGAUAUCAGGAGGAACACCAAUUGCGAAGGCAGCUCGCUGGAACGUUACUGACGACUGGAG